rnacentral:lncRNA from 1 species
CCCGCAUUGCAGAGUAGCGGCAGAGUUUCUCACACGGUGCAUGGUAAGCAGGUAAAUCCUCUCCCGUCAAUAUCUUCUUUGUUUGUUAUAGGGUUUUCAUGUAGGAGGCCUCUAGAGUAGCCAUAUGAAUUAUUUGGAGUUUCAUAUAUUGGCUUAGUUAUGAGGCUGAUACUGAUAAUUGGAUCGAUCCAGAACGUAUAUUUUUACUGCUGGAUCUCAUUGCUGUGGCAUCUUGAAGGGAAUUGUUUGUUUGACCCAUCAAUUUUCCCCCAAGCAGCCUUAGACAUACACACAUAUAUAUAUACAUAUAUAUAUAUAUAUAUAUAUAUAUAUAUAUAUAUAUAUAUAUAUAUAUAUAUUUGAAUUUAGANNNNNNNNNNNNNNNNNNNNNNNNNNNNNNNNNNNNNNNNNNNNNNNNNNNNNNNNNNNNNNNNNNNNNNNNNNNNNNNNNNNNNNNNNNNNNNNNNNNNUCGGAAUGGUUUGCAAUUAAGCAAAAUUGCUUUUCGGUUCAGACAAGGGCGCACAUUAAGAGAGUCAAGUGGGUCAGCUAUUUGAUCUGAUCUUGAGCCCUCUCAUCUGAAUUAAUUAUUUUAGGGUAUGGAACUUGCUUUUCUUGGCUAUGUUCCUUUCUGAGAUUGAUUCAGAUUACAUAUUAUUUUUUAUUUUUCCCCCAAUUGGUUUGUUAUUUAAUUUGUUUGAAUUUUUAUUCUACUUAGAUUUGAUGUUUUGGAUUAUUUUUGUAAAAUGUUUGUGUAAAAGAGGUGAAUAAUAUUAUGUUGGUGGUUAGCAUAGCAUGUGUAUGCAGCAGUGAGAUGGUGACCUCAAAUCAAAUAAUAGGGAAGUCGUUAGUUUGAAGUUUAUUUUGAGAUAAGUUGGUCAAUUCUCUAAUAGAUAUGUGUGUCAGUAUUCUAUUGAUCAAUUGACCAACUUACUAAAAAAAUAAUUUUAUGCUAAUCGGAUUCAAAUAAUAUACUCCCUCCUAUUCUUAUUCUGAUAAAAUGACUUUUUAGGAAGUUUAAUUUUAUUCUAUAUAAGUAUCAUUAAUUAGGGAUAAUUGUAGAGAAUGAGAAGAGACAAUUGUGGAGAGAGAAAUAAUUAAUUAGGGACACAAAAGACAUUUUGUAUUAUUUCUGCUUAACUCUAAAAUGACAUUUAAUCUGAAUAGGAGUGAGUAUCAGACAUCUUACCAAGCGAGUUCUUUUUCAUCUUGAGCUCCAUUUUUUUGAUAAUAAUCGAGUUAUCGUCUUAUUGAAACAGCAUCAACCUUGAGGAUUGUCAAAUGUUCUAUUUUAGUCUAAUUGGGUUAGCCAUUCCAUCAAACAUGUUGUGAUCGUUUACUGAAAUAAUUGUUCCCGGACAAUUCAAUCCAUCGGGGAUUUUGUUUCUUUACAUAUUUGGCUCACAAAACCAUUUAGAUUGAAAGCUUCCGUCUAUGUUCUUGGGAUGUAAAGACGAGGGAGGGAGAUUGUGAGUUUGGAAGAAGUGAAAGAUAAAUGUAGAAAAGAAAUCGAUAAUUUGAUUAGACAAAAAAAUAAAAAAUACAAUAAAGAACAUUUAUCUGUUUAAUAAAAUAUCUGUAAUCGGUUCAGUUUAAUUUGGGAGCAAGUCUCUUCUUGAAAUAAUUGAUUGAAAGUUUAAACUUUUGUUUAAUGCCAAAAUUUAACGGGAAGAGAUGGUGUAGAAACAAUCAAGUUUAUCCAGUGCUCUAAAAAUUACAAGGCAUACUUAGGCAGGCAGGCUGUAGAACGUUUUCCAAGGCAGACUAAGCAUUUUCUUGAACUGUCUUAUUUUUUAGUUCAAAUUUAGUCGGUAGAGGAAUUAAACAAAUCCAGGCCUGGAUUUUCUCUGUUACUUAAUUUUGUAUACUACCUUCGUCCAAAAAUGGAAAUCCCAUAGGAUCAAUCAAACAUUCUAUCAUAGGAGAACACUUGAACAUAGUAUUCCUAGGAAAUGCACAUUAGGUAAGAAAAAGUCCAACUACAAGUUUUAACUGCACAAACCAGAUACAUCAAAACCAAAAUUUCGUUGCUCUAUCUCAGAUAAUCAACUGUAUAGAAUGAGGGUGUUUGUAAGAUAUAGUUGCAGGGUAUACAAAAAAGAUAGCUGCCCUAAAUUUACAUGCUUUUGACUACGUUCCUCCCCCCUCCCCCCUCCCCC